UACGUAGGGCGCAAGCGUUAUCCGGAAUUAUUGGGCGUAAAGAGCUUGUAGGCGGUUUGUCGCGUUGGGAGUGAAAUCCACUGGCUUAACUGGUGGCUUGCUUUCGAUACGGGCAGACUGGAGGUAUGCAGGGGAGAACGGAAUUCCUGGUGUAGCGGUGAAAUGCGCAGAUAUCAGGAGGAACACCGAUGGCGAAGGCAGGUCUCUGGGCCACUACUGACGCUGAGAAGCGAAAGCAUGGGGAGCGAACAGG
rnacentral:rRNA from 1 species